CCCAGACUCCUACGGGAGGCAGCAGUGGGGAAUAUUGCACAAUGGGGGAAACCCUGAUGCAGCGACGCCGCGUGAGCGAUGAAGUAUUUCGGUAUGUAAAGCUCUAUCAGCAGGGAAGAAAAUGACGGUACCUGACUAAGAAGCCCCGGCUAACUACGUGCCAGCAGCCGCGGUAAUACGUAGGGGGCAAGCGUUAUCCGGAUUUACUGGGUGUAAAGGGGGCGCAGACGGCAAUGCAAGCCAGGAGUGAAAGCCCGGGGCCCAACCCCGGGACUGCUCUUGGAACUGCAUGGCUGGAGUACAGGAGGGGCAGGCGGAAUUCCUAGUGUAGCGGUGAAAUGCGUAGAUAUUAGGAGGAACACCGGUGGCGAAGGCGGCCUGCUGGACUGUGACUGACGUUGAGGCCCGAAGGCGUGGGGAGCAAACAGGAUUAGAUACCCGAGUAGG
rnacentral:rRNA from 1 species